rnacentral:rRNA from 1 species
AUGACUGGGAGAAGGUUCUUAGCAUGUGCAGAGCCGGAAGGUCAAAAUUGUGGGUUUGUUCAGUGGGUUGAUGAGCAGUGGCCCCCAACAAUGGAGAAUGCAUUGCUGAAGCUUUGGUCAAUGCUUGAAGAGAGCAAGUCUGCUAGGGUGAAUGAUAAUCUUCAAAGUGCUUUAACUAUUCACCAUUUGACAGAAGAAAAGGCGAAACUGGAUGCAAAUUAUGACAAGUUAGUGAAAGAUGUGCAUCAACUUGUGGACUUUCAGCAGGAUAGGGUUGUGGAUUUCAGUUAUCUGUAG